UUGUGUUGAGACAAUACUAACCCAAAGAGAAUAUUUCAGGGAAGCUAUCACAGUACUCGUGAUCAAGAGUUUGUUAAGUCGGAACACUGCAAACAAAUAAAUACACCUCAUGCAAAUGCGUGCGAAAAGUGACACCAUCAAAUUCCAGUAUGAAGCUGCUCUUUUGAAACCAUAACAUUAAAAGUUACGGAGGAAGACAAAGUAACACACAACAUUUAACUUUACAAACUAAAGACUGUUCAAUACAAGUCAAUGUUCUUCAGAGAACAGUUUUUGUAUACACUCACAAAGGUCUGCAGACAAUUCUUGGCCAAAGUCUCUCUCAAGUGUGGCAGCCAAUAUCAACCUUCUAACAUGUUCCUCUGUUUGUAGCUAAAAUUCUCCCAAGAAUUAUCCUUGUGUGUGUGAUCGUGUUCAGUCAAGUGUUUUAUGUCAUAAGUCAGUGGCAUGAGAUAUUGUUCGUUCCGUAACUCAAGUUUUGGAGGCUUGUGUCUGACAUAUCUGUCAUCCAUCUCUGUGGCCCGCCAUCGUCUCCAAUAACAUUGUAGGCAUAGGAUGAAAGCCCGACAUUCUCUCCACAUGAGCUUGCCUCUCCCAUGUUAUAUAGCCUUUGUGUUCUUGACAGCACCACAAGGUUGGAAAAUGUUGAGAAGCUAUUGCCUACAAACACAUCCGCUCUCGCACAUACCUCAAAGUCAAUAGCGGACUUUAUAAGAUAAGGUUGCCUAUUGUAGAUGUCAGUAACUCCAAGUCUCUUCUUCUCAAAAGCAACCAUACCCACCCUCCAACCGCUAGUUAUUGAAUCAUCUUCUAGAAGGCUGUCAGCUACUGCAAGAUAAACCACAACUGGCCUACGUAGAUCAGUGAUCUGUGAGACCUUAUGAAUGAUCUCUUCUUUACUGCUGCAAAUUUCCUUUGAAUUGGAACGCUGCUCCCAUUUCUUGCAAUGGAUCAUCCAAUCCUUUUCUAUUCUCAUGUGGACGGCAAUGUAUGGCACUGGUGGAUUCAUUGUACCAUCUUUCACGUGCUUAUUAUGAGAAAUACCAGCCUCAUGUCUUGCUUUUAUGCCUGCCUCUCUAAUCUUGGAUAUGGCCUUAACCACUUCAGUUUCUAUCUCCGGAACUAACGCAAGGCAAUCGAAAAUUCUGGCAUAGUCUUUCACUGGCCAGUGAUCAGGCCACAAAAAUGGAUGUUUCCCGAUGAUUUCAAUGACUUCAGAGUCAUCUGCCUCACCCCUUCUGUACUGUAGUAGCUGAUCCAAGUCUUUCUCCACGGUCCACCUCCUACCACUUCCCUUUUGGAGUUUGAAAGGCUUGGUUUGAUUAGAAACUUCUGAAUAGCGAGCUAACCUUACGAACCCCUGGCAACGGGCGUUGAACUUGGUAAAGUCAAACACCUUGUCGAAAGUGAUUGGUCGCAGCAAGUCAACCUCUUUGUAGAAAAGCGAAGCACUCAAACUAGGCAUGAGCAGAGACCGGUUCAGGAAUCUCGCAGUCAAGCACGCCCUGGCAAACGCAAUCUUCUGAUUGUUCAAUCCCCAUAUAAUCUGUGGAACCUCAAUGAACUUGCCUCGCCUAAUCCCAGGCAGCAAAUCGGCUGUCGGAUCGUAAAAACCCUCCUUCUCGGACGGGUUAACGGCGAGAAACGGGGAUACGAUUGCCCUCAGCACAAUAAGCGCAAUCACUAUAAAAAGGCCUUUGCAAACGACAGGCCGCGUCGGCAAGCUGACCUGCUUGAGAUGGUUGAGUUCUAGUAUGAUGUUCAUUGAAGCAAUGGUUUAAACCAAUCUCUCCUAGAGUGAACCUUUUUACCA
rnacentral:sRNA from 1 species